CGCGUAGGCGGGGAGGUAAGUCGGGUGUGAAAUCCCUCGGCCCAACCGAGGAACUGCGCCCGAAACUGCUUCUCUUGAGUCCCGGAGAGGAAGAUGGAAUUCCCGGUGUAGCGGUGAAAUGUGUAGAGAUCGGGAGGAACACCGGUGGCGAAGGCGGUCUUCUGGACGGUGACUGACGCUGAGGCGCGAAGGCGUGGGGAGCAAACG
rnacentral:rRNA from 1 species